AUUGAACGCUGGCGGCAUGCCUUACACAUGCAAGUCGAACGGCAGCACGGGAGCAAUCCUGGUGGCGAGUGGCGAACGGGUGAGUAAUAUAUCGGAACGUGCCCAGUCGUGGGGGAUAACGCAGCGAAAGCUGUGCUAAUACCGCAUACGAUCUCUGGAUGAAAGCGGGGGAUUCGCAAGGACCUCGCGCGAUUGGAGUGGCCGAUAUCAGAUUAGCUAGUUGGUGGGGUAAAAGCCUACCAAGGCGACGAUCUGUAGCUGGUCUGAGAGGACGACCAGCCACACUGGAACUGAGACACGGUCCAGACUCCUACGGGAGGCAG
rnacentral:rRNA from 1 species